rnacentral:lncRNA from 1 species
UAGAAAGAGUUUCUAAUGUUUUAUUAUUUGAAUUAUCAUUAAAAGAUUGAGAAAAAUAUGAAUAUGAAAUUGAGUUUGACAUAUAUUCAUACUCAUAUACAUAUUUGGGAUGCAGUUUGAUUAAAGGAUUGAAUUGCAUGGUAACUUGCCACUGAAGGGUAUUUUUGGUAUUUUCACCAAAUUCCAUAUUUUUCGGGUAGACAUGACACGUUGCUAGACGUCAAUCUUGUCUUAUAGGUUUGAUCGAAUUAAAGAGUUUAAUUCGAUCACUAAUUAGAAAGAAUUCUAAUUGUUAAGUUCGGGUUCGCGCAGUUUGGACUUAAAUCGAUUAGAAGAGUUCUAAUCAAGUUGGGUCAACUCGCACUCACACCUAUUGCUGGCUAAGUAUGGAACCCAAUGGGUCACACACAAGAAAACUUAUCAAGGGUCUAAUUGGAUUAGAUCAUGUUUGCAAGAUAAACAUCCUAGCAGGUAUUGCAAACCUUAGCUCCUGAUUCGAACUGGAUUCGAAUCUGAUUCGAAUUGGAUUCGAAUCUGAUUCUUAAUUGAUCUAAUUUGAUUAGAUCAUAUUCUAAUAUGGGUUAGCCAAGAGUUGGCACCUAAUUGGCUUGAUUUGAGUCUAAUUGGAUUAGAUUUGAUAAAACAUUUAUUUUUGACCGUUAAUUCUUC